rnacentral:rRNA from 1 species
UACAGAGGGGGCAAGCGUUGUUCGGAAUUACUGGGCGUAAAGGGCGCGUAGGCGGCCUUCUAAGUCGAACGUGAAAUCCCUCGGCUUAACCGGGGAACUGCGUCUGAUACUGGAUGGCUUGAGAUUGGGAGAGGGAUGCGGAAUUCCAGGUGUAGCGGUGAAAUGCGUAGAUAUCUGGAGGAAUACCGGUGGCGAAGGCGGCAUCCUGGACCGACAUUGACGCUGAGGAGCGAAAGCUAGGGGAGCAAACGGG